rnacentral:tRNA from 1 species
GCCGGGGUGUCCUAGCCUGGUAGGGAGCAGGCCUGCUAAGUCUGUGCUCGAAAGGGCGCGUGGGUUCAAAUCCCACCCCCGGCG